UACGAAGGGGGCUAGCGUUGUUCGGAAUCACUGGGCGUAAAGCGCACGCAGGCGGAUUGAUAAGUCAGGGGUGAAAUCCCGGAGCUCAACUUCGGAAUUGCCUUUGAUACUGUCUGUCUUGAGUCCGGGAGAGGUGAGUGGAAUUCCUAGUGUAGAGGUGAAAUUCGUAGAUAUUAGGAAGAACACCGGUGGCGAAGGCGGGUCUCUGGGCCGAUACUGACGCUGAGGAGCGAAAGCGUGGGGAGCGAACAGG
rnacentral:rRNA from 1 species